GUGAAUCAUCGAAUUUUUGAACGCAAAUUGCACUCUCUGGUAUUCCGGAGAGUAUGCCUGUUUGAGGGUCAGUUUAAAUGAAAAUCGGUGUGGUUGAUGCGUUUAGUGGUGACGCAGCGGAUGUGGGUCGUCUUGCCUUCGGUUAAGUGACCUAAAGUGUUGCAUGAUUUUUUCGAAAGUGUUUAAUUGAGUGGAUAUACGGUUGAGAA
rnacentral:misc_RNA from 1 species